CCUAACCUUAACCCCUAGCCUAGCUGAUGUUAGCCACCUCGCCAACAUUACGUUUAUUGUACGAAUUGCAAUUCGUAACAUCAUAUGUAUUGUCAUUUUGUAACAUAUCAUAUGAAACAGAUGAUGGACAUCCACAAAUUACCAAAGGAAAGGAAGGUAAUAUAUGAUACUAAUUGAAGUGUCACGAAUUUAUGUUUACUAUGUUACAUCUACCCCUGAGUCCAGGUUGCAAACGGUGGUUUUGUCCAACCAUGUAGACUAGUCACAACCAUGUCGCGUCUCCUUUAAACUAAUGGGAAUAGAUCAGACUACCCACGCUGCGCAGCGCGCGAGCUGUUCACUUUCUGUGCAGUGUGGGGACACGCUAUUUUCUGCUAAAAAGCUAUUUCCCAACAUACAUUAAUGAGUUAAAUUAGAGGAACCAGACAAACAACAUAAGAUUUCACCAGCCGAAUGCACUAAUGAGGACUUAAAGCAGGAUUGUGUGAGGAGCAACUCUCUCUGUUUCUCAGUUCUGUACUCAGGAUUAUUGGGAGUGCUUUUGUAAUGUGCCAAGCUAAACCAGAAGAAGACUGCUGUCCUGGUGGGAGGGGCCAUUAGAUCUGCCUACUACCUACAUAUUAAUCUGAUCUACUAGGCCCUCCAACCUUUCCCUGGUCUCUGAUGGAGGGCAGCCCAUUGAAGCAGAAUCCCAGCCCCCAACAACAGCCCAAACCCAGGGGCCACUCCAAUCUGACUCUGGGCCAGUCCUGCAGCACAGAGGACCUGUCUGAGGGCCUCCCCAGGGCCAACUUAAGGAAGGGUUUCUCCCUGCGUAACAUCAGCCUGUGUAUGAUGGACGGGGUCCGGGAAAUGCUCCAGAGGAGCCGGGGGGCCUCCCCAGAACCCCACUGCAGGCGCAAAGGGGACACAGGGCCACUGGAGCCCCCAUCUGCUGUGCCUGCCCCGACAGCCCCGCUCUGCCACCCUCAGGGCCCCGCCAGCCGAGGUGCAGAGGGAAGGGGCCCUGCGCUAUAUGGUGGAGGCGACUCGCAUAGCAUGGGCUGCAGCACUCAGUGGCAGAAGUGUCGUCUGCUGCUCAGAAGGAGGGGGGGGCCGCUACUGAGGGGGAGGGGGGCUUCCUCCUGGAGUUCUAUGUGCCGCCCAAGGUGGGUCUCGUGGUCACUUCCUGUGUUUUACAUGGAUUUGGUAGAAAAAAUCACAUACCUGUAUUUUUUAAAUGUAGUCAACGCUAUAGGAUUACAUUGGGCUCCUGUAUUGCUGACCUGAUACAAUCUGACACUGAAAAUUAGAUAUCUUUUGUCAGUGUUUGCGGUAUCUCUGGUGUCUCCUCUGUCCUCUCUUUGGCCCAGUCAUCCAAGCCCAAAGUGAGUUCCUCUGACAGCUGCUGUGGAGGUGCGGACCACCAUGCCCCUGGAAAUGCCAGACACGGACAACACCUUUGUCCUUAAGGGACAGUGGAGAUGACAUUGAGCUGACGUCUUGUCCUCGCGGCCAGUUCCCCUCGGUGUCCACCUGUAGCUGUGAGCUCACAUCUACACCUGCGUCUGUCUGUGGACUCUCAGGGCCAGUGCCAUGUGCACCACCUUUGGUUCCAGAGCGUGGGGGACAUGCUGCAGCACUUCCACUGCCAUCCCAUCCCCCUGGAGUCCCGCUGGGCUGCAGACAUCAUGCUGCGGUGCUACGUCCAGAGACACAGCAGCCACCCAGAGCUCAGAGCGUCUCGGAUGUCCACCCAUACCAGAGAGCCUGGCUGUCGGAACUGCCUCCACCAAUCGGCACACUUAUUUCCCCGAGCUUUGCAGGUGGAUGGCGCAUCUGUGGACUCUCCCCCCAGCUCCCCUGCUCUGCCCCGCAUCCCGCCUCCCUUCCCCAGACUUGAGGAUGGUAGUGGUGGGGGAUUACGGAGUCGCAGUGGCAGCUGCCGCCCUCUGGUGGCUCUGCUGAUGAACAGCAGGAGAGUGAGGGCACACAAAGGACACGAGCAGUGGAGAACCAUUACUCUGUCUACUGAGGAACCUUGAAGUAAUCUAUCACUGAUUGCAUCAGAAUCACAUAUCGGUUUUGUCAAAACUGGAACUGCUGCCAUAAUAGAGAUUUUGCAGGUGGUGGAACAUUCUCCUGUAUAGUUUUUUUGUGAUAAAAUGUAAUAUCUUUUCAGUGCUCAUUGUAUGCCAUACCUCAGACCUACAAGGUGGAAUUCCCCACAUUUAUCCCCUGACUAGAACACAACUGAAUCCCUCUAAGGGAGAAGGAAUGGAUGGGUACGUGCAGUGAACGACUUAAAAUGUCAGUGCUAAGACAUGACAAAGAAGGGGAGGAUUAUAUACACCCCAGUGGAUGGAACUGUUCAACCUUUAUUCCUCCCAGAUGUAGUGAAGGAGAUCGUCUGUGAUCCCCUUUGAUCAAAAGACAAUGUGACCCCAUGUCUGUACCACAUUGAUUCUCUGAGUUUCAUAAAUCUCUUGGCUCCACGGAAUAUUACCAUUAGUCAACAGGGCGCAAUACUCCCUUUUUAAAAACAUGUUCACUAAAAUGUUACUGUGCUUGCUACCAGACCUUGGUUCAAAUACAAUUUCAGUUAUUUAAAAAAAAAUCUCAUACAUUUCAAAGUAUUCAGAUAUUCAACUACUUGUAUUCUCAAAGAAUAUUGGAAUGCAUUUGCAAAUACACUGAAGUAUUGGAAAUGUAUUUGCAAAUACUCAAAUACACAGACAAGUGUAUUUAAGUACAAAUAUUUAAAUACUCCCAUGCAUUUGAACCCAUGUCCUAGGAGUAUUUGAAAUAAUGUUUAGAAAAUAUCUUCACAUGGUAGGCUAUUUAUAUGACAUUAUUUGAAAAUACUUCCAAUAGAAGUAGUUAAUUUUGGACACAUUAUUUGAAAAUACUUCCAAUAGAAGUAGUUAAUUUUGGACACAUUAUUUGAAAAUACUUCCAAUAGAAGUAGUUAAUUUUGGACACAUUAUUUGAAAAUACUUCCAAUAGAAGUAGUUAAUUUUGGACACAUUAUUUGAAAAUACUUCCAAUAGAAGUAGUUAAUUUUGGACACAUUAUUUGAAAAUACUUCCAAUAGAAGUAGUUAAUUUUGGACACAUUCUUUGAAAAUACUUCCAAUAGAAGUAGUUAAUUUUGGACACAUUAUUUGAAAAUACUUUAAAAUAUUUAAAUGAAUAACUAAAUACACAUGUAUUUGAACUCAGGUCUGCUUGCUACUAUGACAUGUAAGGUGUACAUAUACUUAACAAAUUGUAUUCAGUGUAUAGCCUAAUGUAAAAAUAAUUUGUCACACUGUCCCCUCUACUUUAAUCAUGAUUCCUUAGGAGACAUGGUGGUAAAAAUGUACUACACUGACAACACUUUAAUAUUCACCAGCUUUUCAAAUUUGGUACAAUAUAAUAUAUACUUACAAGCACAUCAAGGCAAUUAUAUGGGGAUAAUUACAACUCUACUGCCGCUGUAAAUGUGCAAUUAUUUAAAACGUAUUAUAUAUACCAGUGAGUUCACUCUAGAAUUAAAGUUAGCCUGAUGUUUUCAGACCUCAAGUGGACUAGAUGAGGUUAUCAAACAUGAAUAGGACUACAUUAAUGUCUGACAGCAAAUAAACGUUACUUAUUCUGAA